rnacentral:rRNA from 1 species
AUUGAACGCUGGCGGCAUGCCUUACACAUGCAAGUCGAACGGCAGCGGACCUUCGGGUGCCGGCGAGUGGCGAACGGGUGAGUAAUAUAUCGGAACGUACCUUUCAGUGGGGGAUAACGUAGCGAAAGUUACGCUAAUACCGCAUAUUCUGUGAGCAGGAAAGCAGGGGAUCGCAAGACCUUGCGUUGAUUGAGCGGCCGAUAUCAGAUUAGCUAGUUGGUGAGGUAAAGGCUCACCAAGGCGACGAUCUGUAGCGGGUCUGAGAGGAUGAUCCGCCACACUGGAACUGAGACACGGUCCAGACUCCUACGGGAGGCAGCAGUAAGGAAUAUUGGUCAAUGGAGGAAACUCUGAACCAGCCAUCCCGCGUGCAGGAAGAAUGCCCUAUGGGUUGUAAACUGCUUUUAUCUGGGAAGAAAAGUACGGCAUUUAUGCUGAUCUGACGGUACCAGAGGAAUAAGCACCGGCUAACUCCGUGCCAG